UACGUAGGGUGCGAGCGUUAAUCGGAAUUACUGGGCGUAAAGCGUGCGCAGGCGGUUUUGUAAGCCAGAUGUGAAAUCCCCGGGCUUAACCUGGGAAUGGCAUUUGGGACUGCAAGGCUCGAGUGCGGCAGAGGAGACUGGAAUUCCGUGUGUAGCGGUGAAAUGCGUAGAUAUCAGGAGGAACACCGGUGGCGAAGGCGGGUCUCUGGGCCGAUACUGACACUGAGGAGCGAAAGCGUGGGGAGCGAACAGG
rnacentral:rRNA from 1 species